GGAAAGAGUUCCAAGCCCAAAAUGAUAAAGUCCCAGCUAGGCUGGAGGGUGUAUUGGAGAUGUAUCCACAACAGGAUAUGCUGAGUCAGUGGAUGGGAAAUACAGAGUGGGAGGUAAAUCAAGUCUGCAUUGUCUCUAAAUUGGGAGCCCAGUGGGAGCUGUGAUGUCAUAAAAUAGGAAGAAAGGCAAAGUCUGAGUAAACAGGCCACUACUGUAGAUUUAAAUCCUGUCUGUUGUACUUAUUGUCCUGCAAUUCAGGUAAGGCAAUUCACUUUGCUGAGCCACAGCUGCAUCAUCUACAAAAUGGAAAAAUAUUAUCUACUUCAUGGGAUCAUUAAGGUUAAACAUGUAGCUUACUGCCUGGACAGAGAAGUUGCUUGAUAAAUAUUUGUUGAAUGAAGAAAACUGUCAGAAAUAGAAUAAACAGCAGAGACUAUGUAUGGAUAUGGAUAUAAAACUAGGCUUUGUUGUGUGACCUUGAGCAUGUUACCUAACCUCCUUCACAUGUGAAAUAGGGAAAAUUUAUCCUAUCUCACUGGCUAGUUGGGAGGAUUGAAUUGGAAACCCUAUGCAGUGCCUGAGCUGGCACAUAAUUAGGGUUAAAUAAAUAUGCAUUGAAUAAAAAUAUAAAUUAGCUCAACUGUGGUCAGUACAUCUUUUUUACAGAGGUAGAAAAUGACCUCAGUUUACUAAAUAUUACAUACACGCUCACAUACUCACAAAAGAGAACACUGAGUCUGUUUCACGUUAGAAUUUAAAAUUGUAAGAUUCUAUUGUUUGAAAAGUUAACUUGCGUAGAAAAGUUUAUUUUUCAAUGUCAAGAAAAGUCACGCCUAUUUGUGUUUUAUAAAAAUUAGAAAAUACCUUCAUAUCGUCCCAUUAAAAAACAAAACAAAAUAGCUAAAUCUUUGUGCAGAGUAUAGAUGACCUGCAUAACUUUUGUUCUAUAGAAAGGAUACUGAGAAAACAAUUAUUUUUAAAUAACCCAAGUACAACCAGCAUUAUUACUUCAUUUUGUUUGAAUGCCUUUGAUGAUUUAUUUGGAUUCUGUUCCUGCUUGGAUAAAUGCAUUUCACUUUGUGUAUUGUGGCUGUGACAGAUAAUGCUAGAUGAUCCUCAAUACACCUCAACUUUCUUCUAAUAGAGUAACUAACCCCUCCAACCUCUGACCUUUCUCCACCCCAUUUAUUAGAAAGAUGGCCUCCCAACUGUGGACUACAUUUCCCAGCAUCUCUAGAAGCUAGAUAAGUUCGUGUAAAACUUCCGGGCAAUAGAAGAGGAGUGAAAUCGAUAUCUUUAAUUUCUGGAUCAUCUCCUUAAACAUUUGUCCUGUACUCUCUCCUGUCCCUUCUUCUGUGGGCCAUAGGACAGAUGUGGUAGAGACCAAGGUUCUGUAACACUGAAGAACAUGACCUCAGGGAAUGGUAAUGCAGCAUAAAGGAAGGCACUUGUGUCCUUUAAUGACCUAGAGGAGUCAGUCUACUUCACCACCUGGACCCGCGGGACUGUAAUGUGAGAAAUGCAUUUCUAUCUAUGCAUCCAUAACCUGAACCUAAGUGGGAAAAAGGAAGUGGAGGAAGAGGAAGAAGAAUGGGCAAACAAACAAACAACAAACAAACAAACAAAAAACAACACCUAAAGGCAGGCAGGAGGUAGAAGAUUGAACAGGAGCAGGAAGAAAAGAAGAAGAAACAGAAAAAAGUGAAAUGCUGUUCAGAAGUCUUGCUGAAGGAAACUCCUUGGUGCUACUUAAUCUUUAAAAUGAUUUUUAAAUGGCUAUUUACAUACGUGACUGAGUGACAAAGCGCGUGAACUGUGGAGUGGCUCUCUGCAUUUACAUGUGGGCUCCAUACUCGGCCUUGAAUCCUACCUGGAUUCCAAAUAUUUCCCAAUGGCUCUUCCCGCAAAUAGGGGGUAACUUGGGAAUUCACUCUCCUUCUGGCACCAGCAAAAGAUCAAAGAUCUCUGUCUUCUGCAGUAACCACUGGUACUCAAGUUCAGAGACGAAGAGUACCGUUUCUUCUGGACAUUUAACUAUAGUAAGUUUGU